rnacentral:lncRNA from 1 species
GAUACAGGCCUGGUGGUUAGAGGCGGUGACCCCUGCUGCAUUGUUCCCCAGGGCUAUUCUGGCUUUGGCUCCCAUGUCACCGGGGACCCGCUGCUCUCUCUCGUAGGCGGUGAUAACUUAUAUGACGGUAUUGAGGACAUGAUCGGCUAUCGGCCUGGACCCUGGAUGAAGUACAGCUGGGCUGUCAUCACUCCAGCUCUCUGUGUUGUAAGUUUCACCCCGGGCCUGACAUUGUCACCUUGUGAUCCCUAGUUCUGUUUAGCAUUUCCUAUAUUCUAUGGGCUCUGAUAAAGUCAGCUUCAGCUACAGCUGCGACAGUAGGGGCAUGUUGCAGUAGGGGUAUAUUGCCUUGGCUGUGUAGGGUUUUGUAGGACUGAUAGGAGUUUGUGAAGAAG